CUCUGCUGCUAUUUUUUUCAGACAUCAUUGAAAAAGGACAUCUAUGCAUUUCAGUUUCACCUCCUGAGCCCCAGCAUUAGCAAAGUCAUAUACAAACCCAGAGACCAAUGUACACAAAAUAGUGACCAAGAUCCAGACAUUU